UUACUGUGUCCCUUAUCUUUCUGUUUUUGUAUAUUAUAGAGAAUCCAGAUACAGCAGGACAGGAUGAUUUGUGAAAACAGGAAGAAAGUGUGGUCAAUAUGUCAGUUUCAUGAUUACCAAUGUAAAUAAUUUGUUAAUAUGUUAAUUUGUUAAUAUGUAAAAUGUUAAUAAUUGCAUACAUUCGGUUCGCUUAUAUGUUCCCAAGCAUUAAAAGGUACAUAUGUACCUUUUUCUUUAAAGGUUAAGGUACAAUAUCAAGAGCCAGCCCUGAUUGGCUGCUUGAUUUUCAAAUUAAAAGAACGUCCAGUUGGCGGUCUUUCUUUCGGCGGAGACGAAGUCAUAGCACGUAACAGGGCAGUAAAAUCAGCAGUGUAAUAUUUGCAGUGUUAAAAGUUAUUAAUUCCCAAAUAUUUGAAUUAACAAUCCACAGUGUUAAACAGUACUCGUGUUCAGUGUUGUUAUAUGGUGUAAUUUCACUUUUACACUAAAAGUGCGAAAUAAAAGACCCGCCGAAUUGUCUGGACUCCGCCCUUCAGUGACUGCUGCCUCGCGAAGCGACAACGCCAUCUUUUCUUCGAGCGACCGAUACGGUAAGCUGGACUGCUUUUCUCUUGAUAAAAGUUCACUGGAAAAACAUUUUUGUUGAUAAUUUAACUCGAAAUAUGAUUUGGUGGUGAACACAUUUAGAAAUUACUAACCGCGAGUGUUUUGUCAGGUUCAGUGUUAAGUUCGUUCGUUAAUUUAUGUUAUAACGUUAUAUGCUUUACGCUUCUUUUAUUUUUAGUUGGUCGUCCUCUCGCCUCUGUUCCCUCCUCGGCCUGGGGUUACUGCGAAUCUGGCGCUGAAGACUGAAGCUGCUAACGUUAUAUUCGAAGCCUCAGAAGACCUUCAAGGAUCCAGUUGACCUCUGAAUCAGCUGUUAAGAAAAUGGGACAGUUAUAUUGCUUCAAUUGGUCUCCUACUUCAUUUGAUUCCACCAUCAUUACAAGGCUGCAAGGGAUCUGGAAAAAUGUCAUCCUGUCAAGCUGAAAAACAUCUUCAAAAAGGCACUAACAAGAACAGCUUGAUUGCAGAGAAGAGACCACACAGCCAUACACGCUCACUGAUGGGACAGUGAGGAACAUCAUUCAUGGAUGCUACACAACUCAAAUCUACACGUCAUAUUUGUUCAUGUCUAGGUAAAUUUGAUGAUUUUGUGUUUUAUUAAUUACUUUGUUUCUGUGCAACACUUAAUGAAUGUGACUGACUAAUUAACCUCUACACAUCUGGUAUAUGCUUUAAAGUUGCCACUUUGCCCAUUUGUUCAAUAAAUGUUGAAAUGUAUACAUCUGUCUGAAGACUUUCCUGAUUUUAUGUCUAUCCUUUUACAUUAACUUUAUUUUUUAU
ensembl:lncRNA